AUUGGCAGUUGGAUAAUCGGAGGAAACAUAAAAUCAGAAAGUUCUCUGCAAAUGCCGUCAUCACAUUAAAACGAGGAAUGCAAGUAACAAGGAAGUUGUGUCAUUAGCAAACAAGUUUGGGAUAGAUUAAAACCAUUCAAUUUUCUUAAUCACAACCAUAAGACGAGGAGCGACAGUCGGUCUGCUGCAGGGAAACAGAGCUGAGAAGGUGUGAAGUGGAUCUUCACCUGGAGUUCCUGGGAUUCGUGUCAACUUGACCAAAUUAUCAGCCUUUCGAACCAUCACUUUGAUUCGC